UAAGGUAGUUAUAGCACGGGGGAUCCACCUCUUCCCAUUCCGAACAGAGAAGUUAAGCCCCGUAACGCCGAUGGUACUGCUGAACUAAAAGUGGGAGAGUAGGUAGCUGCCGUUU
rnacentral:rRNA from 7 species